GACGAACGCUGGCGGCGUGCUUAACACAUGCAAGUCGAGCGGUAAGGCUCCUUCGGGAGUACACGAGCGGCGAACGGGUGAGUAACACGUGAGUAACCUGCCCUUCUCAUCGGAAUAAGCGUUGGAAACGACGUCUAAUGCCGAAUACGACUUCGGAAGGCAUCUUCUGAAGUGGAAAGCUCCGGCGGAGAAGGAUGGACUCGCGGCCUAUCAGCUUGUUGGUGAGGUAACGGCUCACCAAGGCGACGACGGGUAGCCGGCCUGAGAGGGUGACCGGCCACACUGGGACUGAGACACGGCCCAGACUCCUACGGGAGGCAGCAGUGGGGAAUAUUGGACAAUGGGCGCAAGCCUGAUCCAGCAACGCCGCGUGAGGGAUGACGGCCUUCGGGUUGUAAACCUCUUUCAGCAGGGACGAAGCGCAAGUGACGGUACCGUAAGAAUAAGCACCGGCUAACUACGUGCCAGCCGCCGCCGUAA
rnacentral:rRNA from 1 species